rnacentral:rRNA from 1 species
UACGUAGGGACCAAGCGUUGUUCGGAUUUACUGGGCGUAAAGGGCGCGUAGGCGGCGUGGUAAGUCACUUGUGAAAUCUCUGAGCUUAACUCAGAACGGCCAAGUGAUAUUGCUGUGCUAGAGUGCAGAAGGGGCAAUCGGAAUUCUUGGUGUAGCGGUGAAAUGCGUAGAUAUCAAGAGGAACACCUGAGGUGAAGACGGGUUGCUGGGCUGACACUGACGCUGAUGCGCGAAAGCCAGGGGAGCAAACAGG